CACUUGUUACAUCCAAUGAUGAGAGUUUGCGACUAGGGCGGUCUUACACAAUCAUGGUGAUUCUAGUCAUUCUGAUGGUA
ensembl:snoRNA C08D8.3 ncRNA